AACUUUCAACAAUGGAUCACUUGGUUCUGGCAUCGAUGAAGAACGCAGCGAAAUGCGAUAAGUAAUGUGAAUUGCAGAAUUCAACGAAUCAUCGAAUCUUUGAACGCACAUUGCGCCCAUUGGUAUUCCGAUGGGCAUGCCUGUUCGAGCGUCAUUUCAACCCUCAAGCUAUCUUUGCUUGGCGUUGGAGCCUCUAUAAUAUGACAUUAUAGGCUCUGAAAGACCUUGGCGGUAGUUUUAUAAACCCGAACGUAGUAAUUACUUUUCGUUUAGGGAGUUGUAGAAUUUCUCUAGCCACACUCUCCUUCUGGAAUUCUAAAGGUUGACCUCGGAUCAGGUAGGAAUACCCGCUGAACUUAAGCAUAUCAAUAAGCGGAGGCU
rnacentral:misc_RNA from 1 species